rnacentral:rRNA from 1 species
GACGAACGCUGGCGGCGUGCUUAACACAUGCAAGUCGAACGGAAAGGCCCCUUUGGGGGUACUCGAGUGGCGAACGGGUGAGUAACACGUGAGUAACCUGCCCUUGACUUCGGGAUAACUUCAGGAAACUGGGGCUAAUACCGGAUAGGAAUCCUUGCUGCAUGGUGGGGGUUGGAAAGCUUCGGCGGUUUUGGAUGGACUCGCGGCUUAUCAGCUUGUUGGUGGGGUAGUGGCUUACCAAGGCUUUGACGGGUAGCCGGCCUGAGAGGUCGACCGGCCACAUUGGGACUGAGAUACGGCCCAGACUCCUACGGGAGGCAGCGGUGGGGAAUAUUGCACAAUGGGCGGAAGCCUGAUGCAGCAACGCCGCGUGCGGGAUGACGGCCUUCGGGUUGUAAACCGCUUUCAGCAGGGGCGAAGCUUGUGGUGACGGUACCUGCAGAAGAAGCACCGGCUAACUACGUG